GUCCUAGGAUAGUCAAUCCCAACCAAUUUUUACUCAAUUUCUUGCUGCUAACCCCCGUAAGCAGUCCCUUCAUCCUUUUCUCUCUUACAAGCUAAAUUUUUUAUUUCCCACACCAACAAAUCAUGAGUUACCACUGCUGUUCCCUUUUAUCGUUGCUGCUCUUUUGCCAUUUCCAGCGUUUCUAAAGUUAAAACAACCGUCUAGCAGCUUCUUUCUGUCAUCUAUAAAUCAAGAACCCUCCUUUA
rnacentral:misc_RNA from 1 species